AUGGAGAAGCCCGGCAUAUUGCACAUUAUGAAAUAUAUUUAGGAAAAGAACUUUCUAGAGCAUUUAUUAUUAUAUUGUCCAAACAAAAGUAGAAAACCCUAAAUCUAACAUUUUCAACUUUUAUUUUACUAAGUUAGAGCCGCUUUCUUCUCUAGCUCACUCAUCUCUUCUUCUUCUUCAUUUCUUCUCCAUCAACAAAUCUACUCGGACCUUGCGCGAGACGGUGAGCCUAUUUCAUUUUACAUAGCUAUGACAGAAGGUAGUUAUGUUAAUCCGCUUGACUUGGGGGGAGAUGAAGAUGAUAUUUCGUGCAACAAAUUCUUGGAAAAAAUCAAAAACUUUAGAAAGCCCGUUAGCCUGUGGGCUGUCCGCCCGUUACAUAAAGGGCGGGUAAGGACAACCAAUAUCUCAUUUAGCGGACGGGUAAUGGCAACAUUUUAAGGCCCAUUGGACAAUUUUUUGGUAGUUGGCCCGUCCAUUCCCCGUCCAAGCCCGCAAAUGAUAAGCUCUACUAUAGGUUAUCAAAUGAUGUCAAGACUUUGUUUACAAUCACUCGAAUUGAAUCCCGUUCUACUUCACAACUACAAAAGAUCGACAGACCCCUUGCAGAAGGUUGCAUCAGACAUCGAUGUGAAAGACGAGAAUUUUCAGAAGUGUUAGAUCUACUCAACGAUCGUGGUUUUGUCAUAUUAGAAUUGUAUUUAUUUCAUUUUAAUAUAUGUAUAUUUGUUUAGUUUUGACUUUUAUUAUAGAUAUUGUAUGACCUUGAAUCAAUUAAUGUUAAUUAUUUUUUAAAAAAAAACUCGUGGAAAAAGAAAAUCUUUUGACAGCAGCUCAA